UACGGAGGAUGCAAGCGUUAUCCGGAAUCAUUGGGCGUAAAGAGUCCGUAGGUGGUUUGGCAAGUCUGCCGUUAAAGAAUGGAGCUUAACUCCAUAAAGGCGGUGGAAACUGUGAGACUAGAGUCUAGGAGGGGUAGAGGGAAUUCCCAGUGUAGCGGUGAAAUGCGUAGAGAUUGGGAAGAACACCGGUGGCGAAAGCGCUCUACUGAACUAGAACUGACACUGAGGGACGAAAGCUAGGGUAGCGAAAGGG
rnacentral:rRNA from 1 species